rnacentral:rRNA from 1 species
GACAGAGGAUGCAAGCGUUAUCCGGAAUGAUUGGGCGUAAGCGUCUGUAGGUGGCUUUUAAGUCCGCCGUCAAAUCCCAGGGCUCAACCCUGGACAGGCGGUGGAAACUACCAAGCUGGAGUACGGUAGGGGCAGAGGGAAUUUCCGGUGGAGCGGUGAAAUGCGUAGAGGAUCGGAAAGAACACCAACGGCGAAAGCAACUCUGCUGGGCCGACACUGACACUGAGAGACGAAAGCUAGGGGAGCGAAUGGG